UACGUAGGGUGCAAGCGUUUAAUCGGAAUUACUGGGCGUAAAGCGUGCGCAGGCGGUUUUGUAAGUUUGUCGUGAAAGCCCCGGGCUCAACCUGGGAAUUGCGAUGAAGACUGCAAGGCUUGAAUCUGGCAGAGGGGGGGUAGAAUUCCACGUGUAGCAGUGAAAUGCGUAGAGAUGCGGAGGAACACCGAUGGCGAAGGCAGCCCCCCUGGGCUAACACUGACGCUCAGGCACGAAAGCGUGGGGAGCAAACAGG
rnacentral:rRNA from 1 species